ACAAGCCAAAAUUUGUCUCAAUUUUUCCAACCAAAUCAGUUAUCAAAACUGAAAACAAUCACCACCAAAAACCGCUGUGAACAUCAUUGUUCCCUGCGACCACCACCAUCAACCACCCGCAUCGCCCGACCACCCAGAACCACCGCCACACCCACCGUUCCUCACCGUACUCCCCCUGCUCUCUCCUCGGUCUAACUCCCCUGUCCCUCUACCUUUCUUUGCCUCUUUGCACCACCACCGUCGCACAUCACCACUCUUCAGCCACCACCACUACCAUCUCUGUCCACCACCAAGAACCCCUCACAACCACCUCAACCACCGCAAACCCCACCACACACCCUCGUCUUUGCCCUCUUCCUCCUCCAGCGCACUCCCCUGCUCCCUCUUUCCCUUCCUCUGCCGCACCACCAACACCGCAGCCACCACACCCAGCCACCCUCCAUCGCAUAAUCGACCAACUCCCUCCACCCUCACCGCCGAGUCGUCCCCUCCUUUGCCCAAAACUGGCCGAAAAACCACCCACAAACUCCCCUGCGUUCCCCUCCGAUGUUCGACCCCCUCCUCUCGCCUCACUGCUCCACCGUGAACAGCCGCACAACCACCAACAUCACCGUCGCCUCUAGGCGCGGUUCUCGGUUCGGCGCCACCCAGCUACCCCCCUUCCUCCCUCCUCCUCUCUCCUCCUCUUCGUGUUCCUUCCCCUUCCCCUGUUUCGUGCCCUGCUCCCAGAAAACCAAAACCAAUUUUUGGUUUUGGUUGGUUUUUACUCUCCUUUAAAACCCACCAUUAAUUGGGCCAUUCUAAAUUGGGCUUUUGGUAAAAAACCAAUUUGCUAUUUCAGAUUUUGUAAUUUAUUAAUUUUUAUGUUUUAAUAAAUUUUUAUGAUAUAAUUAUUAUUAUUUACUAAUAAAUAGUUACUAUUUUUCAGGUUAAUUUUACGAAAAUAAGUUACUAGUUUUGUUUAUAAAAAUGGAAUUUAAAUAAUAUUUUCAUGAAAACCGAUUUUAUGAAAUAUAAAUAUAUAUAUAUUUCGAUUAAAAAUUCGAUUAAUAAUAAUAUUUUCGUUAGAUUUCGAAAUUAUGCUUUUUAUUAAAAUUCGUUAUUUAUAAAUCCGUUACUUAUAAAAUUUAUGAUUUAUAAAAUAUUGAUUUCAAAUUAUUUAUCGAUUUAGUACUAAUUCCAUAAUUUAUUAUUUUGGAAGAAAUUGGACUUGGAGCUCAGGACGAACGAACCACCGAAAAUCCUUACCAAAAUCGUGAAAGUUAGGUACUGCGGGGAUCGAUGGAAACGAGUAGAGGCGAGUAAUUUCACUUUAAUAAUAUUCACCUAGUUUAUGCUUAAAGUUAUAAUAGUUUAAUUAAAGACUUUUAGUAAUUUAUGUACUUGUAUUUUGGGAAUAUAAAGGAUUAUUAUAAUAAUUUGGGUUUUGAUAACUUAUGUUAUGAUAGUUGCCUUUUGAUUUCCAAGAGGGAAUUACGGAAGGUAAUGUCCCGACCAAGUUAGGUUAAUUCCGCUGCUAAUUAUGCUUUAAUAAUUGAAUUAGAGGUCGGGGCGUUACAGUUUUACUUUAAAUGGUACCAAUAGGUAGGUUAAUAGUGCUUUGUAUAACACAUAAUUUAAUAGUCUAACUAGUUUUUGGGUCCGGACGAUGCCCUAGGUUGCUACAUUAUUAAUAUUUACAUUUACUUAUUUAUUUUUGUUUUCACUGAUAACAUGAAACAUGUCAUGUCCUAGUGGUGAAGGCUUUAUUGUUUAAGCACAAAGUCGGGGGUCCAAACCUUAUGCAAAUCAUAUUUAACAUUUUUUCAUGUAUGUGAAGAUUGCAUGGAGUGAAUGACUCAUAAGCAGAGUGUCACGUGUCACAUAAACUUCCUUAUAAACGACUAUUAUUGUAUAGUAUAAGUAGCACAAAAUAGUGAGCCAAUGAUAUCAUUUUUUUAUACUUCGUAUGAAUCAUAUACAAUUUAAUUGUCUAAUCCUACCCCUUUAAAAAGCAAGGAGUGCCUUCUAAACUCCCCUUAAUUAAGAAUAGUGGAAUUACCCCCACACCCUUGAAUUCAUUCAUGAUUUACCUGCCCUGCCAUUCCCUUUUCCUUGCACGCAUGAUCGGCCAGCUGUCUGUUCCCACUUCCCUGCUUCAGAGCUUCCCUUCUUCUUUCAUUCACCCCUGGUUGUGUUUCAACAAACCCUAGCUCUGCUCAUCCGCCUCCCAUCUCCUCCGCCCCUAUUUUCUCUCUCUUACCAAUUCUUCUUUCUCUCACCUUCUCACUCCUUCUCUGCCGCUUUCAAAAUGCUUCCCAUAUCUUCUCUGCUACUGCUCUCUCUCCUGUUCAGGGCUUCAUCGCGGCAAAAACGGUGAGAUCUAUUACAAUCCUUCUAUUUCAAUUUUACAAUCGAGCAGCGAUUUUCUUCCUCAUAAUGUUGAUGCGAUGCUGGUUGUGGCGAUUCUCUAGAAAAUUUAGGCUCUAGCUAAUAGCUACGGCGGUGUUCAAAUUUUGAAUUCCUUUAGGCUCUAGCUAUGGAGAUAUUCAAAUUCCAAAGGUGAAUUUCAGAAUUCCUAACCAUUUUACAAUACUCUCGUCAAUUUUGUGUGCGUGCGUGAAAUCUAGGGUCUUAGUGUUUUUUUUUGUUUAUAUUGGAUUUACUAAAGCUUGGAACGGCUGACGAACGCGAGAUGGUAUGAAAUGUUACGUAUUUAGAGGGUUCCAUUUUCUGGAAAAUUUGUGCUCUAUUUAGUGAAUUUUGGUUCUGGUGAUUUGUUCAUGUUUUAUUGGUAUUUCUUAUGGAGUCAAAUCACCUAUUUUUAGUAAUAUUGAUAAAUUCGUCCCUCAAUAAUAUGCAAUGCUUGAUUAGAAUGUACAAAGUGAGACACAAGUUGAAGCCUUUUUCUCUAAUGUCUGAUGAUUUACAGUUUGUAGCUUCGCAAUUUCGUAUAAUUCACAGUAAGAUAUGGCACAUUUGGGCUACAUCUUUAUAGAUUAUAAACUUUUAUUGUGAGAGUUGUACACCAAUGCGUAGUGGAUUUUAGGGCACUUCUUCUUUUUUUAAAAAAACAAAAAAUAGUGGAAUUAGGGGUACUUAGCAAAUAUUUAGUAAUUAAUGGUUUAUCGUAUAACUGAAAUCGAUUUGUUUCUGUGAUAUGGUUGAAACACUAAAAAUAUGGUCUUGUUUUGUGUAAAUCACGUAAUAUUAUGUUAGAAAUAAUUGAAAAACAGUGACCGACUAAUGUACGUUAGAAGAUGAACUGUAGCUAGAUUGAUCAAUAUAUGUGUGUUAAAUAUUGUGAACUUCUAUCUAGAAUAAUCACUAGAGAAUCCCCUCGUCAAUAUUCAUUAUCUAGACUAAUGAGCUUCCUUUUAUUUUAGUUUCUUACCGGUAAUCUGACUGGAUGGGGGAAAGCAUAACAAAGUUGUUGGUGAUGGAGCACUGAGUGGAUGCUCAGUAGAAUAGGGGUUCCUUCUCACUUGGAGGAGACCAACCUCGGGAGAUUUAUAUCGCAUGGCAACAACCUCUACUCGUUUAAAGAAAUCUGGAACCUUUUAGGUGCUGCUACUUCUGAAUUUUAAAACUCAACCCGAGAACCGAAGAUUGGAUCAAAGACCUAAUCUGCACCCCCCCCCCCCCCCCUUGUAGUAGCUAUUGAAUAUGCACAUCAUGCAUCUUAUUUUUCCAAUCUAUGUUUUGUUAUCACCAAAUACUCCUUGGUCUUGUGGUAAGAGCUUUGCUUUUUGACUGAUAGUUCACAGAGUUGAUUCCCACUAGGAGCUGCUGGGGUCGGUUUCAUGGUUUUGAGACUCAGAGUUUGAUGGUUCUCCUUUGGUUUUUCCUAGAAGCUCAAGUAAGUGGUUGUAUUGAUCCACAUAUAUCAUAUCAGUGGUGUAGUACGUCACGUUCUCUUCUUGAACAUCACCAUGAUUUUCUAA